UCCGGUUUGUCACCGGCAGUCACCUUAGAGUGCCCAACUAAAUGCUGGCAACUAAGAUCAAGGGUUGCGCUCGUUGCGGGACUUAACCCAACAUCUCACGACACGAGCUGACGACAACCAUGCACCACCUGUCACCGCUGUCCCCGAAGGGCUGCCGUAUUUCUACGACAUUCCUGCACAUGUCAAGCCCUGGUAAGGUUCUUCGCGUCGCGUCGAAUUAAACCACAUGCUCCGCUGCUUGUGCGGGCCCCCGUCAAUUCCUUUGAGUUUUAGCCUUGCGGCCGUACUCCCCAGGCGGGGUGCUUAAUGCGUUAGCGUCGGCACAGGGGGAGUCGACACCCCCUACACCUAGUACCCAUCGUUUACGGCGUGGACUAC
rnacentral:misc_RNA from 1 species